UACGGGGGGGGGCAAGCGUUGUUCGGAAUUACUGGGCGUAAAGGGCUCGUAGGCGGCCAACUAAGUCAGACGUGAAAUCCCUCGGCUUAACCGGGGAACUGCGUCUGAUACUGGAUGGCUAGAGGUUGGGAGAGGGAUGCGGAAUUCCAGGUGUAGCGGUGAAAUGCGUAGAUAUCUGGAGGAACACCGGUGGCGAAGGCGGCAUCCUGGACCGGCAUUGACGCUGAGGCGCGAAAGCUAGGGGAGCAAACGGG
rnacentral:rRNA from 1 species